GACGAACGCUGGCGGCGCGCUUAACACAUGCAAGUCGAGCGAUGAAAUUUUGACAGAACCCCUUCGGGGUGAAGAUGAAAUGGAUUAGCGGCGGACGGGUGAGUAACACGUGAGUAACCUGCCUUUGACAUAGGGAUAGCCUCGGGAAACUGGGAUUAAUACCAAAUGAAACUGUAUGACCGCAUGGUCGAACAGUCAAAGAAAUUCGGUCAAAGAUGGACUCGCGGCUGAUUAGCUAGUUGGUGAGGUAACGGCCCACCAAGGCGACGAUCAGUAGCCGGCCUGAGAGGGUGAUCGGCCACAUUGGGAACUGAGACACGGGUCCAAACUCCUACGGGAGGCAGCAGUGGGGAAUAUUGCACAAUGGGGGAAACCCUGAUGCAGCGACGCCGCGUGAGCGAAGAAGGCCUUCGGGUCGUAAAGC
rnacentral:rRNA from 1 species